UUACUUUGGCAGCACACAUACUAAAAGUGGAACGAUAACAGAGAAUAUUAGCAUGGCCCAUGCAUGAGGAUGAAGCUCAAAUUCAUGAAGUGUUCUGUAUUUUU